CUGGUGUCUGGGAGAAAUGUAUCUUCAGAGAAGAGUGAACCAGUGAAUAUAACGGUAGUGGCUGAGCACAUUCGUGAGUGGAUUCCGGUUUUACCAGCGGUGAAUUUGAGCCUCCUGAUUACUGCGACGGGAAUCUACUGGUGGAAGAUCGGGAAUUUCAGAAGACGUUGAUGAAUGAGAUGAAAUCCAAAUU